rnacentral:rRNA from 1 species
AGUUCGUAGGGAACCUGCGGAAGGAUCAUUA